GAAUUCGCCCUUAGAGUUUGAUCCUGGCUCAGGACGAACGCUGGCGGCGUGCCUAACACAUGCAAGUCGAACGGAGCAUUAGAUUUCGGUUUAAUGCUUAGUGGCGAACGGGUGAGUAACGCGUGAGCAACCUGACCUUCAGAGGGGGACAACAGUUGGAAACGACUGCUAAUACCGCAUAAGACCACGACCCGGCAUCGGGAUGAGGUCAAAGGAGCAAUCCGCUGAAGGAGGGGCUCGCGUCCAAUUAGAUAGUUGGCGGGGUAACGGCCCACCAAGUCGACGAUUGGUAGCCGAGCUGAGAGGCUGAUCGGCCACACUGGAACUGAGACACGGUCCAGACUCCUACGGGAGGCAGCAGUGGGGAAUAUUGGGCAAUGGGCGCAAGCCUGACCCAGCAACGCCGCGUGAGGGAAGAAGGCUUUCGGGUUGUAAACCUCUGUCCUUGGUGACGAAGGAAGUGACGGUAGCCAAGGAGGAAGCCCCGGCUAACUACGUGCCAGCAGCCGCGGUAAUACGUAGGGGGCGAGCGUUGUCCGGAAUUACUGGGCGUAAAGGGUGCGUAGGUGGUCUACUAAGUUGGAUGUGAAAUCCCCGGGCUUAACUUGGGGUCUGCAUCCAAGACUGGCGGACUAGAGUGCAGGAGAGGAAAGCGGAAUUCCUAGUGUAGCGGUGAAAUGCGUAGAUAUUAGGAGGAACACCAGUGGCGAAGGCGGCUUUCUGGACUGUAACUGACACUGAGGCACGAAAGCGUGGGGAGCAAACCAGGAUUAGAUACCCUGGUAGUCCACGCUGUAAACGAUGAAUACUAGGUGUAAGGGGUAUCAACUCCCCCGGUGCCGCAGCAAAC
rnacentral:rRNA from 1 species